GACGAACGCUGGCGGCGUGCUUAACACAUGCAAGUCGAACGAUGAAGCAAAGAAUCGAUGCUUCGGCAGAAAGUCAAUUCGGAUUAGUGGCAGACGGGUGAGUAACGCGUGAGCAACCUACCUCUUACAAAGGGAUAGCCACGGGAAACCGGGAUUAAUACCAUCUAACAUUGCGACGGAGCAUUUCGGUGCACUCAAAGCUACGGCGGGAGGAGAGGGACGCGCGUCCGAUCAGCUGGAUGGUGGGGUAGGGGCUCACCAAAGCGUGGAUGGGUAACCGGCCUGGCAGGGGGAGAGGCCAGAUUGGGACGGAGAUACGGCCCGGCCUCCUACGGGAGGGAGGAGGGGGGGAGAGUGUACAAUGGGAGGAAGCCUGAUGCAGCAACGCCGCGCGCGGGAUGAGGGCAUUCGGGUUGUAAACCAAUUUCGCCUGUGACGAAGAGAAAGUGACGGUAAUGGGUAAAGAAGCACCGGCUAACUACGUG
rnacentral:rRNA from 1 species